ACUUCUGUUUCUGAACCAGAGUGGGUUCUCAGAGUCUUGGCUUUCUUUCUGCAGCCUGUCUGCCUCCUAAGCAGCUGAGAUUGUUUCCCCACUACAGAUGAGUGAUAAGCUGACUGCACCCUCACGGAUAAUUCUAUCAAGGCCACCAGGAUGCAUCACAGUCCUGACCCCAAUGCAGGAGACUGAAAGUCACCAAGGACUGAGACAUGCUGUCGAGCCACAAUCAGAAGAGAAACUGGAGUUGAAGAAGAGCCAGGUCUGGCCACACAGAGAAGUGAAAACCUCCAUUUAAUGGUCAGAGGCAAAGUACAAAGUUAGGCAUCAGAGAAGUGUUCCGUUUUGGUCACUAUUAUUUCUUAAGAAUCUUUCUGAACACUCCAGAACUAAAGGACUAGAAGUCCAGGGCCCUUGCUCUCAGUGUCUGAUUAGCUGCUGUCAUCUGCCUCGAAAGCUGCCCCAUGGUUUUUUCCAUCCUUGCUAGCAGCACAAACCAACUGGUUUAGCCUAACAUUGAUAAAACUACAGAAUCUCAGAUUUGGAAGGAUGCUUUUAAAGCAAAUAGCCAAGCUCCUAGCUAAUUUUCUAAUUUUGUUGCUACAAGAAUAAAGAAUUUAAUGUGGGUGUGGAGGGAGAGUUAUUUGAGUCCAUUUUUCUUCUGGUCUUUCCCCUUUUCCAAGUAUAUAGGCAAUCCUGCACUCAUUGCCUCAGGGAGGGGAGGCAAUUAGUCAGAAGAUAUAAAUAGCCAAUUGGCACUUUUUGUCUCUGUGUUUUAAAAGAGGGAACUUAGAAUUUUGGGGAUGAUGUCAAGAUCAAAUGUGUGGGAGAAACAGAGGUCAAAGAGCAUUGACUUCCUCCACCCACCACCUAGAAUAGGAUUCUCUGAGGUCUGAGGCAUGGAGAGUGAAGAGCAGAUAAUGAUGAGAACAGACAGAAUGAGGGGUUCAAGAGCCAGGUUCCCUUCUUUCUGGGCAGUAGGUAGCAAUACCCCAAAGCAGGAGGUAGCAAUACCCCAAAGAGGAGAUGGCUUCGUGCAGGGUCUAGGCACACCAGUUCAUUGCCUCUUAAAGAUUUCUGGUGUGAACCUGGGAGGCGAAGCUUGCAGUGAGCCGAGAUCGCGACGCUGCACUCCUGCCUGGGCGACAGAGCAAGACUCCGGCUCAAAAACAAACAAACAAACAAACAAACAAAAACCAAACAAGAUUUCUGGCCCUCAAGCUAUGCAGCAAAAUAUCUCUGUGAGCCUCCAGUUCUAAAAGGCCAUGCUGCAAGCCAAAUACUCUCUCAGGGUAACUCAAUGGGAACAGAUGGCUCAGGGACCAGAAGGCUCACCCUCCCUCAAUGUACUGCUAAAGGCACUAAGUAAAUCCCAACAGGGUCUUUGUCUCAACCCCCGGGAAGAAGAGAGAAACCAAUAAUAAUCGGAGAGUGUUACCCUUAGCCUGCUAGUACAAAGAUAAAACAUCAAAUUGAGUUAGAGGAAAUGUUAUUUUUCUAGAUCAAUGCAGUCUAUGGACUGAGAUUCAUAGAUCUACUAUA
rnacentral:lncRNA from 1 species